GAUAUUGGCUCUCAAAAAUUCGGCCCUUUGGUGAAAUUUGAGGUUUUGAGUGCUUCAACCUCCAUUGAAGCUUGAGGAGCCAUCAAUCCUUGGUUGUGUGACCAUUGGUGGAUUGAGACAUUUGGACCAACCGUGAGUGAUCAACCAUUGGAGCAAGCUAUGGAGCUUGAUUAGCUCCAUUGGAUAGGUUUUGUUUGAGAAGUGGAGUAUUUUAAUUGAUUGACUGUGGAAACUGUUGGUGGUGAACAAAGGUCGAAUUGAAGCUGAGG